rnacentral:sRNA from 1 species
UUUACAAAUUGCAGCAGCUUACUACCAAGUACAAGAGAGUAUGUGCACUACAAGGCAGAGAUGUGUGUGAAAGCAAGCUAACUGCAAGUAUAUCAUCCAGUGGUACAAGAAGAAGUAGCUGAGAAGACUCCGCGUCCCAAACAUCGAGUAGUGCCGCUAGUUUAGUUAAGUGCGUUUGUGUUGAUAUUAGUCAGUGCACUGUAGUAUUUGUUUACUGCAUGUAUGUCUAUACAUGCAAAAUAAAACUUUAAUUGAAUAUAAA